GCUUAACGCGAAGAACCUUACCUGGGCUUGACAUGCAUGGGAAACCCGGUGGAAACAUCGGGCCUCCUUCGGGACUCAUGCACAGGUGCUGCAUGGCUGUCGUCAGCUCGUGUCGUGAGAUGUUGGGUUAAGUCCCGCAACGAGCGCAACCCUCGUCCCUAGUUACCAGCGGGUCAUGCCGGGAACUCUAGGGAGACUGCCGGUGUCAAGCCGGAGGAAGGUGGGGACGACGUCAAGUCAUCAUGGCCCUUACGUCCAGGGCUACACACGUGCUACAAUGGCCGGUACAGCGUGUUGCCAACUCGCGAGAGUGCGCUAAUCACGAAAAGCCGGUCUAAGUUCGGAUUGCAGUCUGCAACUCGACUGCAUGAAGCCGGAAUCGCUAGUAAUCGCGGAUCAGCUACGCCGCGGUGAAUACGUUCCCGGGUCUUGUACACACCG
rnacentral:rRNA from 1 species